rnacentral:rRNA from 1 species
GAUGAACGCUAGCGGCGUGCCUAAUACAUGCAAGUCGAGCGAACAGACGAGGAGCUUGCUCCUCUGACGUUAGCGGCGGACGGGUGAGUAACACGUGGAUAACCUACCUAUAAGACUGGGAUAACUUCGGGAAACCGGAGCUAAUACCGGAUAAUAUAUUGAACCGCAUGGUUCAAUAGUGAAAGACGGUUUUGCUGUCACUUAUAGAUGGAUCCGCGCCGCAUUAGCUAGUUGGUAAGGUAACGGCUUACCAAGGCGACGAUGCGUAGCCGACCUGAGAGGGUGAUCGGCCACACUGGAACUGAGACACGGUCCAGACUCCUACGGGAGGCAGCAGUAGGGAAUCUUUCGCAAAGGGCGAAAGCCUGACGGAGCAACGCCGCGUGAGUGAUGAAGGUCUUCGGAUCGUAAAACUCUGUUAUUAGGGAAGAACAAAUGUGUAAGUAACUAUGCACGUCUUGACGGUACCUAAUCAGAAAGCCACGGCUAACUACGUG